GAUGAACGCUGGCGGCGUGCCUAAUACAUGCAAGUCGAGCGAACGGACGAGAAGCUUGCUUCUCUGAUGUUAGCGGCGGACGGGUGAGUAACACGUGGAUAACCUACCUAUAAGACUGGGAUAACUUCGGGAAACCGGAGCUAAUACCGGAUAAUAUUUUGAACCGCAUGGUUCAAAAGUGAAAGACGGUCUUGCUGUCACUUAUAGAUGGAUCCGCGCUGCAUUAGCUAGUUGGUAAGGUAACGGCUUACCAAGGCAACGAUGCGUAGCCGACCUGAGAGGGUGAUCGGCCACACUGGAACUGAGACGCGGUCCAGACUCCUACGGGAGGCAGCAGUAGGGAAUCUUCCGCAAUGGGCGAAAGCCUGACGGAGCAACGCCGCGUGAGUGAUGAAGGUCUUCGGAUCGUAAAACUCUGUUAUUAGGGAAGAACAUAUGUGUAAGUAACUGUGCACGUCUUGACGGUACCUAAUCAGAAAGCCACGGCUAACUACGUG
rnacentral:rRNA from 1 species